rnacentral:lncRNA from 12 species
GAGGCCCUUUGCAAAGUUUAGAACUGACUCCUGUUUUUAAUUCUUAGUUCACUGAAGCUGAAAGAGAAGCGAACAAAAGGUCAACUGUUACUGUCCCAUCUUACAGAAGAGGAAGGUGCAGGGAGGUGCUGUCCAGGGCCCCUCACUGCCAAGGAAUAGCCUGUGUAAUUGGAAAUGUGACUUGGAGGGGAAGAUGGAGGCUGAUCUGGGGACAGAGAACUGCCUGGCCACAGGAAUCAGGAGCCAAGGAGUCCUUGUAGAUUUUCACACAAAAGAGCUCAAUCCACACAGAAGCUCCUUGGCUGUUCAGAAGAGCUCCCACCUCCACUCUCAGCUGUUUUGGCACACAGGAGAGCACUCCCACACCUGCAGGGGCACCGUGUCCCUCCUGGGCUGUCCCUUGGGGCUGAGGGAAGGACAUGCAGGUGCAGCUAUGAAGAUAUGA